UACAGAGGUCUCAAGCGUUGUUCGGAUUCAUUGGGCGUAAAGGGUGCGUAGGCGGACGCGGUAAGUCGGGUGUGAAAUCUCGGAGCUUAACUCCGAAACUGCAUUCGAUACUGCCGUGCUUGAGGACUUGGGAGAGGAGACUGGAAUUUACGGUGUAGCGGUGAAAUGCGUAGAUAUCGUAAGGAAGACCAGUGGCGAAGGGCGGGUCUCUG
rnacentral:rRNA from 1 species